AGAGUUUGAUCAUGGCUCAGAACGAACGCUGGCGGCAUGCCUAACACAUGCAAGUCGAACGAGACCUUCGGGUCUAGUGGCGCACGGGUGCGUAACGCGUGGGAAUCUGCCCUUCGGUUCGGAAUAACUCAGGGAAACUUGAGCUAAUACCGGAUAAUGACGUAAGUCCAAAGAUUUAUCGCCGAAGGAUGAGCCCGCGUAGGAUUAGCUUGUUGGUGGGGUAAUGGCCCACCAAGGCGACGAUCCUUAGCUGGUCUGAGAGGAUGAUCAGCCACACUGGGACUGAGACACGGCCCAGACUCCUACGGGAGGCAGCAGUGGGAAUAUUGGACAAUGGGCGAAAGCCUGAUCCAGCAAUGCCGCGUGAGUGAUGAAGGCCUUAGGGUUGUAAAGCUCUUUACCCGGGAUGAUAAUGACAGUACCGGGAGAAUAAGCUCCGGCUAACUCCGUG
rnacentral:rRNA from 1 species